rnacentral:snoRNA from 1 species
AAAGCAGGUCUGCAAUUGCAGCACUCAUCAUCAGUAGAGUGCUGUCAUUAACCCUGCUGAGAGCAUCUCUGCUGCUGCACUUCUCCUCCUCCUCACUGCACUGUGAUGAGGAAGCUCUGCAGCUGCAGGACACUU